UUGACUGCUCCGUGUUUUUGAUGGCUAAUGAAGGCUUAAAUGCUCUUUGGCGUAUGUGUUGUGCGCGGUCCGCAGGGAACGCCGCCGCCCGCCCGUGUCCUGUCCUGCAUUGAUGCCAUCACGCUCUCAUCUGCAUGCCACGCUUGACAGCUCAGACCUUCUUUCAUCCACACACCAUCUCCCUUCCUUUAUCAUCUUGGUCUCUCUGUCACUUUCCAUUAAUUCCCACUUCUGUUUGUCUCUCUUCAUUUUCUUUUUGCAGUUCUUUUUUCGCAGUCUCGCCUGCGUUCUGAUUUUGGUCGAUACCGCGUGUGUUAAGGAUUCACUGGUUGUGCUUUCUAGAUAAACACCCUGUUAGCAGGAUUAUCCUUGUUGUCCUAACAAUGUAAACCCGGGAUUAGGCCUCGCUCUCCUGGGAUGCAAGUACGUGUGUGUUGCGGUCAUUAGUCUGCUUUUGAGGAAUACUGAGGUCCCGUUAGUUCAACACAAAGGAAAUAUAAGAAGCUUGCAUUGCAAUUUAACAUAAAGGCCGCAUUGAAGUUAAUGAUCAAUAUUUUUUUUAUAAGUCUGAGGUGCAAAGGAAUGAAGGUGUGAAGGAUUCGGGUGAAGCUCUUUGGAGCAAGCUGCGGUGGCGAUUGAAAGGGCAAAGCCUUUACCUUUUGCCACAUUAAGCAAGCGUAUCCUGUACUUCUCAUCACUCUGCAAGUCCCUCGUCAUGGCUGCGAUACCACCCGAGGACCCGAAGACAAGCUCCCAAACGCGCCUGCAGAAGUGGAGUGGAAGCAGUUGUGUUUAGCUUGGCGGCCAAAACUAGCAGGGGUCAAAGACAUGUGAGUCAACCAGGAAGUAUCAGGCUGCGUCGACAGGAAGUGAGCGGACCAAACAGGAAGGAGCAGGCUACUGAGAGGCGGCGACAUUCACAGCGGGGAUUGAAACAUUGACAAUGUGUACCUCGAGGUGCUCUCCAUCCUAAGAGAACCUCUGAUUGGUCGCUCCAGAUACUGAAGAAGCUCCAGCUGACUCCAGGCCAGCACGGUGGAGGAAGCGGAGAAGUGCAGGUGUCACAUUGUCAGGGUUGUCACCAAGCCAAUUACACCUGGAUCGCACAUAAACAACACAAUGGCACACACACGAUAUGAGUGAAAGAGCAGCAAAAGAAAAAUACACAAACACAGAGAUGAUAGCUUCUCACAACCAGUCCUCUUUUUCUUCUCCAAGCGUGUGUGUGCUCUAAUAGCAUUUAAUGCGCAGACUAAUGGUUUCUGUAGGGAAUCCUUGUGUGCAGUCUGAGUAGAAGCUUGGGCUGAGUGCUGGCAGGCAAUCCCUCAUCCUGAUACCACAUGGAGCUGAGAGCCAGGGGAGCAUCCAACCUCUCCGUUUCUGACUGACUCUCAUCCCCCACGUGUCUUUAUCACACCGCAAUUUAUUUGGACUGUAAUGAAGACGCGAUGGGCUCCGGGCCGUACCCGGCGGCGACGGGGUGACACUGAUGAAUGGCUGAAGGUGCGCUCACUGCUGUCAGCCAGGAGAGGGACGACUGUCAGCUUGCUGCAAUUAGGGGGCGCCUGAAGAUGAUGUCUUGUGAAAGGCAGGUUAGAAGAUUGGAUUGGUGGACGUGACGUCAAACCUGUAGGUGAAUAGAAACCAGGAGGAGGAGCAUUAUAGCUCAGGGCAAGGAGGUCCAGAUAAGGGGACAGGAAUGUGACACGAGCUGGGACCGAUGACCGCUGAUAACAUGAGGUGUGGGUGUGUGAAUGUGUGAGUACACACGUGUGUGUAUGUGCACGUUGGGCCCAUCUUCAGUGUGUGUGUGUAGGAAUGAUGAGGGGGGUCAGUUAUCAGCACUGUCUAUGUCAGCACCUCCAUCUGGUGUCAGCCAUGGUGUGUAUGUGCAAGUGUGUUGUGUGUGUGUGUGUUCAUGGGUCUGUGUCUGGAGAGCAGGAAGAGCAGUCUGGCUUGUGAACUGAUGACACGAGCACAGUCUUUUGUGCCUUGUGCUCUUUGUCUGUAUUAUUAUUAUCAUUAUUAUUAUUAUUAUUAUUAUAUUAUUAUUAUUACAGUUCAUAAAUUCAGCAUGGUCACUCAAAGGGGGGAUAGGACGUCACCAUGACAACAUAAGAGCUGCUAUGCUGAAGCCUUCCAUGCACAGCUUCAGUCCUCUGCUGCCAACUACUGGAGAAAUGUUGGUACAACAUGCCUUGACGUAAAAAUUGGACUCUUAGAAUAUACGUAUUAUUUGUAACCACAGCUAUACUGAUUUUCAAGAAAGGCAUUUGUCUGAAACAUCAGGGCAGUUGUCUCUGAACCAACUGUGCGCCCCCAAAACAUCUCAGCAGAACAUUCCAAAAGUCGAUUUUAUCAUCCAAAAUAUAUGGAAAUGGGGUAGACGCCUGAUUCGUAUGGCCAAACCCUGAAAUAAGUCAUUCCAAAUAGGUCAUAAUAAUUAUAGAGAGUGCUGCUUGUCGGCCAUUAUCAUUCAAGCGCAAUCUUUGCACUGCAAG